rnacentral:rRNA from 1 species
AUUGAACGCUGGCGGCAGGCCUAACACCUGCAAGUCGAACGAGUGGCGGACGGGUGAGUAAUGUCUGGGAAACUGCCUGAUGGAGGGGGAUAACUACUGGAAACGGUAGCUAAUACCGCAUACCAUCGGAUGUGCCCAGAUGGGAUUAGCUAGUAGGUGGGGUAAAGGCUAACCUAGGCGACGAUCCCUAGCUGGUCUGAGAGGAUGACCGGACCAACGGGAACUGAGACACGGUCCAGACUCCUACGGGAGGCAGCAGUGGGGAAUAUGGCACAAUGGGCGCAAGGCUGAUGCAGCCAUGCCGCGUGUAUGACGCAGGCCUUCGGGGUGUAAAGUACUUUCAGCGGGGAGGCGUUACCCGCAGAAGAAGCACCGGCUAACUCCGUGCCAGCAGCCGCGGUAAUAC